UACGUAGGGACCAAGCGUUGUCCGGAAUUAUUGGGCGUAAAGAGCUCGUAGGCGGUUUGUCGCGUCGAAUGUGAAAACCCGGGGCUCAACUCCGGGCCUGCAUUCGAUACGGGCAGACUAGAGUUCGGUAGGGGAGACUGGAAUUCCUGGUGUAGCGGUGAAAUGCGCAGAUAUCAGGAGGAACACCGGUGGCGAAGGCGGGUCUCUGGGCCGAUACUGACGCUGAGGAGCGAAAGCGUGGGGAGCGAACAGG
rnacentral:rRNA from 1 species